rnacentral:rRNA from 1 species
GAUGAACGCUGGCGGCGCGCCUAACACAUGCAAGUCGAACGAUUAAAGCACCUUCGGGUGUGUAUAAAGUGGCGAACGGCUGAGUAACACGUGGGCAAACUGCCCCUUUCAUUGGGAUAGCCACGGGAAACCGUGGAUAAUACCGAAUACUUCGAGACUUCCGCAUGGAAGACUCGAGAAAGCUCCGGCGGAGAGGGAUGGGCCCGCGGCCUGUUAGCUUGUUGGUGGGGUAACGGCCUACCAAGGCAAUGAUGGGUAGCUGGGUUGAGAGACCGACCAGCCAGAUUGGGACUGAGACACGGCCCAGACUCCUACGGGAGGCAGCAGUGGGGAAUCUUGCACAAUGGGCGAAAGCCUGAUGCAGCGACGCCGCGUGCGGGAUGAAGGCCUUCGGGUUGUAAACCGCUUUCAGCAGGGACGAGGCGAAAGUGACGGUACCUGCAGAAGAAGCCCCGGCUAACUACGUG